AAAACUCAAAAUACAUAGUCGUACUUUUUCAACACACUUGCUUCCAUAGAACAGACUAAAAGCAUUAAAAAUUGCGCAAAACAAAAUCAGCUAAAAAUUCUGGCAACGCUAUAUAAGGGCGAGAAAAGGCAAGCUGCAUGGCGCUACCCUCUACUCGUUGAGCAGUCUCUCACUCGUUACAAAAUCUCUUCGUUGGACGUUUACACAACGAAGACAACAAUAUGAAUAUAGGAAAGUACAUGGCAAAGGUGCAAUGAAUCCUCUUGCAAGCUAUUUUGAAGAGAAUGGCUGAAAGAAAAAACGUUAAUUAAAGAUAGUAGAAACAAGCGAGAAGCAUUGAAUGCACCCGAGAGGAAUAGCGAACGAAAGUAAAGUGCAAUAUGAGAUGAUUGAGAAAAUAUCCAUGUGGGAGCAUUGAUAAAUUUAUGAAGUCUAUGAUGACUAUGAAGAGCAACAAUUUUUCAACUGUACGACAAGCAGGCACACCUACAUAUGCAUGAUUUAUGUAGCGGGUACUCUUCUAAUUCUACAUGUUGCAUUGUAUUAUCAAGCCCGCACUAGUGGGGGUCAUUGAUUGUAAGAAACGCCGAUAUUUAGUGGAAAAUAGUUUUAAUUUGUUUUUGUUCAGUUUACUAUCAUUCAUACACUUGUUCACUAAUUUCUUAUGCCACUUUUCUACGUAUUGUCUACUUUCGCACACCAUUGCAUAAAUCAAUUGCUGUUCGAGCAAAUCCGAAUACACGAACUAGGCACACAUCAACGCAGUAGACUACGUGCGAGCAGGCGACAGUAAGCAAGAAAUUUCCUUUUUUCUUCCACGCCACUUCAACUCGAUUUAUAUGAGGGCAGCCGUUCGUCGAUCUCGUUAUUGCCGUCGUCGUACAUCAGCAGAAGCGGCAGCACUCGUACUCGUACAGUUGGGUAGAGCGAGCAGUGCGCCCGACGACGAAUAGACAAGAAAAGCAAUAUGGCGGAUGCCUACACCAGAGAAACGAAAAACAUAAUUUUUUCUCUGCUUCACUUACAGCGCAAUUUGGAUGCCGUAACGCAUAUUUACCUCGUUGAAACUUGAUGAAAGGAAAAAGCUUCAAUUUGGUCUCUUUUCUUAGUUUUCUU